rnacentral:rRNA from 1 species
AUGGCUGGUUCUCAAAAUAAUAUCAGUGUUCUUCAGCAUUCUCCACUGUUUGCAAGGCUUGCAGAAAGCCACUCCCAGGAGGUCAAGUUUAAGGUCAAUGGCCAUCAUUACAACAAGGGAUAUUAUUUAGCCGAUGGUAUCUAUCCUCAGUGGUCCACUCUUAUGAAGACCAUACCCAAUCCGCAAGGAGAGAAGAGACAGAUGUUUACCCAAAUGCAGGAGAGUGCUAGGAAGGAUGUGGAGCGUCCUUUUGGUGUGCUUCAGUCUUGGUGGGGUAUCGUUCCUAACCUUGCAUUGACACGGAGCACUCAGAAGUUUUGGGAGCCGAUGACUUUUUGUGUGAUCAUGCACAACAUGAUCAUGGAGGAUGAGCGCGACGAUAGCAUCUACGACCAAGGAUUAGAUUUACAGGGUGGAAAUGUUGAGCCUGAGCAUCCACCUCCUGCAACCUAUGAGUAG